rnacentral:rRNA from 1 species
AUGGUCGGUCCUGGGCACAGGAACAGUCAUGGAAAGCGGCAGUCUGAUUAUGCUGAAAAUGGAGGUGGCAAGAGAAGAAAUCCUGGUGGUGAUACAUAUGCUCCUGGUCCAGAUGACACUGUCUAUCGCUACCUUUGCACGUCUAGGAAAAUAGGGAGUAUAAUUGGGAGGGGUGGAGAAAUUGCCAAGCAGCUGAGGAGCGAUACUCAAGCUAAGAUUAGGAUUGGUGAGAGUGUCCCUAACUGCGAUGACCGAGUCAUAACAAUAUUUAGCUCAAGCAGGGAGACUAAUAUUAUUGAAGAUACUGAAGAUAAGGUUUGCGCUGCUCAAGAUGCUCUCUUUAGGGUUCAUGAGAAGCUUGCCACAGAUGAUGGUCCUGUGAACGAAGAAAAUGAAAUGGGUUUAGGUCAAGUUACUGUUCGGUUGCUUGUGCCAUCUGAUCAGAUUGGAUGCAUUAUUGGAAAAGGUGGGCAUAUCAUCCAGGGAAUCCGCAGCGACACUGGUUCACAAAUACGUGUUCUUAGUAAUGAACACCUUCCUGCAUGUGCUACUAGUGGUGAUGAACUUCUCCUGAUAAUUGGGGAUCCGAUUGUAGUUAGAAAAGCUCUUCUCCAAGUGUCAUCUCGCCUCCAUGGCAACCCAUCCAGGUCACAGCAUCUCCUUGCAUCCAGCUUAACCCAACCUUUUCCAGCGGGCUCCCGCCUUGGUAGUUCCUCUACUGCACCAGUUGUAGGGAUUACUCCUAUGGUUAGUCCUUAUGGACGAUACAAAGGUGAUAUAGUGGGAGAUUGGCCUUCUAUAUACCAACCACGGAGGGAGGUGAGCUCUGCAAAAGAGUUUACCCUGCGUCUGCUUUGUGCUGCGGCGAAUGUCGGAGGUGUAAUUGGAAAAGGAGGUGGAAUUAUCAAACAGAUUAGGCAAGAAUCUGGAGCUUUUAUCAAAGUGGAUAGUUCGAGUGCUGAAGAUGACUGUAUAAUUACAGUUUCGGCAAAGGAGUUCUUUGAAGAUCCUGUCUCUCCAACAAUUGAUGCUACAGUCCGUUUACAGCCAAGAUGCAGUGAGAAAAUUGAUGCAGAAUCGGGGGAGCCAUCAUAUACUACACGUUUGUUGGUGUCGACAUCACGGAUAGGGUGCCUGAUCGGCAAAGGUGGUUCAAUCAUUACGGAGAUACGAAGAACAUCGAGAGCAAACAUACGGAUCAUUUCGAAGGAGGAUGUUCCAAAAGUAGCAUCGGACGAUGAAGAGAUGGUCCAGAUCGGCGGAGAUCUUGAUGUUGCAAGGCAUGCUCUUGUGCAAAUAACUACAAGGCUGAAAGCCAACUUCUUUGAAAGAGAAGGUGCUUUAUCAGGUUUUCCACCUGUGAUCCCAUAUCACCCUUUGCCUGCUAGUGUGCCCGAUGAGCCAAAGUAUCUAAGCAGAGACAGUAAGUCUGCUGGGCACGAUUAUCCAUAUUCCAUUGGAUAUCGUGCAUCAGACGAUGUGCUUCCUGUUGACCGUUAUGCAAAUUAUGGCAGCUCCCAGGCGGCUAUGGUGCUUACAGUGGUGGUUCUGGCAGCAGCGGGUUAUCUGGCUCUACCUAUCUUUCAUCUGGAAAACGCUAUGGCUAUUAAAAUGCAGGUUGUCGAAUCCAACAGCUCUCUUCCGAUGAACCUGUCCGUUUCACAUUUGCACCCCUGCCCAAUCCUUUACUGA